CAUCCUCUGCCGUGAGCGACAGCCCGCGCCUACAUUUGCCUUGUCCCAUAAUGCGACCCCGGAAACCGGCCGAUGGAGCGGUGUGCACGUCCGCCACGCGCGGAAAGCCUGAAGCCUCACGACCCGUUUCCACCUGAUCCUUGGGAUCAAGGUCGUUGCGCGGACAUCGACAUGGCGGAGGAUGU
rnacentral:other from 1 species